rnacentral:rRNA from 1 species
AGGGAAUCUUCCACAAUGGACGAAAGUCUGAUGGAGCAACGCCGCGUGAGUGAUGAAGGGUUUCGGCUCGUAAAACUCUGUUGUUGGAGAAGAACAGGUGUGAGAGUAACUGUUCACAUCUUGACGGUAUCCAACCAGAAAGCCACGGCUAGCUACGUGCCAGCAGCCGCGGUAAUACGUAGGUGGCAAGCGUUGUCCGGAUUUAUUGGGCGUAAAGCGAGCGCAGGCGGUUUCUUAGGUCUGAUGUGAAAGCCUUCGGCUUAACCGGAGAAGUGCAUCGGAAACCAGGAGACUUGAGUGCAGAAGAGGACAGUGGAACUCCAUGUGUAGCGGUGAAAUGCGUAGAUAUAUGGAAGAACACCAGUGGCGAAGGCGGCUGUCUGGUCUGUAACUGACGCUGAGGCUCGAAAGCAUGGGUAGCGAACAGGAUUAGAUACCCUGGUAGUCCAUGCCGUAAACGAUGAGUGCUAAGUGUUGGAGGGUUUCCGCCCUUCAGUGCUGCAGCUAACGCAUUAAGCACUCCGCCUGGGGGAGUACGACCGCAAGGUUGAAAC